AGAGUUUGAUCAUGGCUCAGAUUGAACGCUGGCGGAAUGCUUUACACAUGCAAGUCGAGCGGCAGCGCGGGGCAACCUGGCGGCGAGCGGCGAACGGGUGAGUAAUACAUCGGAACAUGUCCAUUUGUGGGGGAUAGCCCGGCGAAAGCCGGAUUAAUACCGCAUGAGCCCGAGAGGGGAAAGUGGGGGACCGCAAGGCCUCACGCGAAUGGGUUGGCCGAUGUCCGAUUAGCUAGUUGGUGAGGUAAAGGCUCACCAAGGCGAUGAUCGGUAGCUGGUCUGAGAGGAUGAUCAGCCACACUGGGACUGAGACACGGCCCAGACUCCUACGGGAGGCAGCAGUGGGGAAUUUUGGACAAUGGGGGCAACCCUGAUCCAGCCAUUCCGCGUGAGUGAAGAAGGCCUUCGGGUUGUAAAGCUCUUUUGUCCGGAACGAAACGGUUAGCGUGAAUAUCGCUGACUACUGACGGUACCGGAAGAAUAAGCACCGGCUAACUACGUGCCAGCAGCCGCGGUAAUACGUAGGGUGCGAGCGUUAAUCGGAAUUACUGGGCGUAAAGCGUGCGCAGGCGGUUUUGUAAGCCAGAUGUGAAAUCCCCGGGCUUAACCUGGGAAUGGCAUUUGGGACUGCAAGGCUUGAGUGUGGCAGAGGAGACUGGAAUUCCUGGUAGCAGUGAAAUGCGUAGAUAUCAGGAGGAACACCGAUGGCGAAGGCAGGUCUCUGGGCUAACACUGACGCUCAUGCACGAAAGCGUGGGGAGCAAACAGGAUUAGAUACCCUAGUAGUCC
rnacentral:rRNA from 1 species